GUGGGGAAUAUUGGACAAUGGGCGAAAGCCUGAUCCAGCCAUGCCGCGUGUGUGAAGAAGGUCUUCGGAUUGUAAAGCACUUUAAGUUGGGAGGAAGGGCAGUAAGUUAAUACCUUGCUGUUUUGACGUUACGGACAGAAUAAGCACCGGCUAACUUCGUGCCAGCAGCCGCGGUAAUACGAAGGGUGCAAGCGUUAAUCGGAAUUACUGGGCGUAAAGCGCGCGUAGGUGGUUUUGUAAGUUGGAGGUGAAAUCCCCGGGCUCAACCUGGGAACUGCCUCCAAAACUGCAUGACUAGAGUACGGUAGAGGGUAGUGGAAUUUCCUGUGUAGCGGUGAAAUGCGUAGAUAUAGGAAGGAACACCAGUGGCGAAGGCGACUACCUGGACUGAUACUGACACUGAGGUGCAAAAGCGUGGGGAGCAAACAGGAUUAGAUACCCCUGUAGUCC
rnacentral:rRNA from 1 species